rnacentral:lncRNA from 1 species
AUGCUCGAGCUUUCCUGCUCGUUUUUGGGGCUUCAUGCUUCAAGGCUUCUUGCCUCUUUGGUGGGGCUUCUUGCCUCUCUAUUGGGGCUUCAUGCCUCCUAUCUUUAUUGUUCCCCCAAAUCUCUGUCAUUCCAUUCCACUCAGUGUUUUCCCUUUGUUGUCCUCCAAUCGGUUCCUACUUUCCUUCAUGCCUCCUAUUUAAUUCAUUGUAAAAAUUAG